GAAGCUCUCUUUCCCCCCUUUUUCCCUUCUUGCUUUUAAUAUCCCCAACUCUCUUGUUGCUUAUCUUUGCUUCUUUGUCUUCACCUCCGUUCUCCCUUUCCCUUCCUUCUUGGUCUUAUUUCCUAAUUUUAGAUUUCUCAAAUAUUACACGUUUUACGUUUUAGUUUGCUCACUUAAUGCGAACUCUGCGAAUAAUAAUCUCAGAUAAAAACAUUUUCCCUUGGCGCAAAAUUAGGAAAAAAAAAAGUAGCAUGAGGUACCAGACUAACUCCGGCGAAAAGCUCUAGGAUGCCAAGCAUGAGAGUCUGAGCGUUGAAAUUGAGCGAGUUAAGAAAGAAAACGACAACAUGCAUAUUGAACUAAGGCAUCUUAAGGGUGAGGAUCUCAACUCCCUUUACCCAAAGGAAUUGAUUCCUAUUGAGGAGGCACUCCAGAUUGGGUCACCAG